rnacentral:rRNA from 1 species
AUUGAACGCUGGCGGCAGGCCUAACACAUGCAAGUCGAGCGGAUGAAGGGAGCUUGCUCCCUGAUUUAGCGGCGGACGGGUGAGUAAUGCCUAGGAAUCUGCCUGGUAGUGGGGGAUAACGUUCCGAAAGGAACGCUAAUACCGCAUACGUCCUACGGGAGAAAGCAGGGGACCUUCGGGCCUUGCGCUAUCAGAUGAGCCUAGGUCGGAUUAGCUAGUUGGUGAGGUAAUGGCUCACCAAGGCGACGAUCCGUAACUGGUCUGAGAGGAUGAUAAGUCACACUGGAACUGAGACACGGUCCAGACUCCUACGGGAGGCAGCAGUGGGGAAUAUUGGACAAUGGGCGAAAGCCUGAUCCAGCCAUGCCGCGUGUGUGAAGAAGGUCUUCGGAUUGUAAAGCACUUUAAGUUGGGAGGAAGGGCAUUAACCUAAUACGUUAGUGUUUUGACGUUACCGACAGAAUAAGCACCGGCUAACUUCGUGCCAGCCGCCGCGGUAACAC